UACGUAGGUGGCAAGCGUUGUCCGGAUUUAUUGGGCGUAAAGGGUGCGUAGGCGGUCUAUUAAGUUUAAGGUAUAAGUGCAAGGCUCAACCUUGAGGCUUUAGAAACUGGUAGGCUAGGGAUAGAUAGAGGCAAGUGGAAUUCCAUGUGUAGCGGUAAAAUGCGUAAAUAUAUGGAGGAACACCAGUGGCGAAGGCGGCUUGCUGGGUCUAUACUGACGCUGAGGCACGAAAGCGUGGGGAGCAAACAGG
rnacentral:rRNA from 1 species